GAUGAACGCUGGCGGCGUGCCUAAUACAUGCAAGUCGAACGAACAGACGAGGAGUUUGCUGCUCUGACGUUAGCGGCGGACGAGCGAGUAACAAGUGUAUAACCUACUUAUAAGACAGCGAUAACUUCGCGAACCCGGACCUGAUACCGCAUAAGAUAUCGAACCGCAUUGUUCAGGAGUGAAAGACGUUUUUGCUGUCACUUAUUGUUGGAUGCGCGCCGGAUUAGCUAGUUGGUAAGGUAACGGCUUACCAAGGAAAGCAUGCGUAGCUGACCUGAGAGGCUGACAGGCAAACCUGGACUUGAGAAACGGUCAAGACUCCUAGGGGAGGCACCAGUAGGAAACGUUCCGAAAUGGGCGAAAGCCUGCCGGAGCACGGCGGCGUGGGUAAUGAAGGUCUUCGGAUCGAAAAACUCUGCUAGUGGGGCAAAAAAAAUGGGAAAGUAAAUAUGCACGUAUUGACGGUACCUCAAAAGAAAGCACCGGCUAACUACGUG
rnacentral:rRNA from 1 species